rnacentral:rRNA from 1 species
AAUGAACGCUGGCGGCGUGCUUAACACAUGCAAGUCGUACGAGAACUCUUUAGCUUGCUAAAGAUAGUAAAGUGGCGUACGGGUGAGUAACGCGUGGGUAAUCUACCUCCGAAUCGGGGAUAACCCGCCGAAAGGCGAGCUAAUACCGGAUAAUAUCUAUAAAAUUUCGGUUUUAAAGAUCAAAGGUGGUCUCUACAUGUAAGCUACUGUUUGGAGAUGAGCCCGCGUACCAUUAGCUUGUUGGUAGGGUAAUGGCCUACCAAGGCUUCGAUGGUUAGCUGGUCUGAGAGGAUGAUCAGCCACACUGGAACUGACACACGGUCCAGACUCCUACGGGAGGCAGCAGUGAGGAAUUUUGCGCAAUGGGGGAAACCCUGACGCAGCAACGCCGCGUGAGUGAUGAAGGCUUUCGGGUCGUAAAGCUCUGUCAAGUGGGAAGAAUAUGCUUGAUGCUAAUACCAUCUUGCACUGACGGUACCACUGAAGGAAGCACCGGCUAACUCCGUGCCAGCAGCCGCGGUAAUACGGGGGGUGCAAGCGUUAUUCGGAAUUAUUGGGCGUAAAGGGCGCGUAGGCGGUCUUUUAAGUCAGAUGUGAAAGCCCGGGGCUUAACCCCGGAAGUGCAUUUGAAACUAAGGGACUUGAGUAUGGGAGAGGGAAGUGGAAUUCCUGGUGUAGAGGUGAAAUUCGUAGAUAUCAGGAGGAACACCGGUGGCGAACGCGACUUUCUGGACCAAUACUGACGCUGAGGCGCGAAGGCGUGGGGAGCAACAGAUUAGAUACUCCUGGUAGUC